rnacentral:rRNA from 1 species
CGCGUGGGUAACCUGCCCUGUACACACGGAUAACAUACCGAAAGGUAUGCUAAUACGAGAUAAAAUACUUUUAUCGCAUGGUAGAAGUAUCAAAGUUUUUGCGGUACAGGAUGGACCCGCGUCUGAUUAGCUAGUUGGUAAGGUAACGGCUUACCAAGGCGACGAUCAGUAGCCGACCUGAGAGGGUGAUCGGCCACAUUGGAACUGAGACACGGUCCAAACUCCUACGGGAGGCAGCAGUGGGGAAUAUUGCACAAUGGGCGAAAGCCUGAUGCAGCAACGCCGCGUGAGCGAUGAAGGCCUUCGGGUCGUAAAGCUCUGUCCUCAAGGAAGAUAAUGACGGUACUUGAGGAGGAAGCCCCGGCUAACUACGUGCCAGCAGCCGCGGUAAUACGUAGGGGGCUAGCGUUAUCCGGAAUUACUGGGCGUAAAGGGUGCGUAGGUGGUUUCUUAAGUCAGAGGUGAAAGGCUACGGCUCAACCGUAGUAAGCCUUUGAAACUGAGGAACUUGAGUGCAGGAGAGGAGAGUGGAAUUCCUAGUGUAGCGGUGAAAUGCGUAGAUAUUAGGAGGAACACCAGUUGCGAAGGCGGCUCUCUGGACUGUAACUGACACUGAGGCACGAAAGCGUGGGGAGCAAACGGGAUUAGAUACCCUGGUAGUCCACGCCGUAAACGAUGAGUACUAGCUGUCGGAGGUUACCCCCUUCGGUGGCGCAGCUAACGCAUUAAGUACUCCGCCUGGGAAGUACGCUCGCAAGAGUGAAACUCAAAGGAAUUGACGG